UUUAAAAAACUUACUUUUGAAGGAACUUUUAUAAAAGUGGAUAUUUUUCAACACACUAUCACUUCAGACAUAAGACAGACAUGCAUAAUAUUUUUCGUUAAAUUGCUAGAACUUAAGUCCACUUUAACCCAUAUAACGAAUAUUUUUGUCUGCAAUACAUAGAAAAAAAUGUUAUUUCACAAAAACUAAAAACGAAAUUUUUGCUGACAAAUUUUUCAAAUAAUCGUAACUUUCAAACACUGAAAGUUUAAUUCAAUUAAAUCUUUGUUCAGCUGAAUUUGAAGUAGCAUGUUUUACAAGUUGAAUCUACAAAAGCACCCCUUUGGAGUUAUUUUUACGAAAAUAUACAAAAUAACCUGAAAAUAAAAAAUAUAAAUUCAGCUAGUCGACAAUUCCUACAACGAAAAAAUUGGUUUUUUCCAAGUGUCCCGGUCAGAUUUCUUAGAUGAAAGUUUGCUUACAUGCAUUUGAAGAUACUCCAGGCCAACGUGAUAAAUGUAAAUUCUGGG